GUGGCUGCAACUUGUGUGGGCACCAGCACCUGCAAAGCUCCCCGCCGGGCUGCCGCGCCAGCCCCUCCAGCCGCGGAAGGCCUGCUCCUGGGGGGAAUGGGACCUGGCACGAAUAUUCAGACUUCAAGUAUCUCGGGACUGAUGCUGACAAUGCCUCUGGAAAGAGGACGAGAAGACAGAUUUCUCAUAACUACGAUGCCUCUCUGUAAGGAAAGCUGCUUACUGCAAGUGAAAUAAGGAGGAAAUUUAACAGAGAACGUUUAACAAGGUCACAUUAGGAUGCUGAAUACUACCCAUCUGCAGAGGAAGAUUUAGAUACCUAUGUAACUACACAUGUACAUUCACUUGCUGGCAACAACAGUCCUCAUUAAACCAAACUGCUUCUCAGCAUGAAAGAAGGAAGUAGGGAAGACAAUAUUAACUAAUAAAGACAAAAGGAGCAGAAGGAGCCAAUCCUGGACGGGUUCUCUUUGCAGGAAAACACAGCCAUGUGACAGGAAGAGAGUGUACAGAGCCUCUGGAUGACUCAGUAACAGGCCACAGGGACCAUCCCAGCUGAAAGGACAGACAAUCAAUGCUAACAGCUCCCAGCUUGCAAGAAAGAUGAGAUUCUGUAUCCAUUCAGGCAGGAGCAGAACCAGGAUCCCAUCAGGAACAGGGGUUUUUAGGACUUUGUUGCCCCACAUGCUUACACAUUCCAGUUCCUCACUGAUUUGAAAUAAAGGCUGUUGACAUGGGCAGAUCCUGCAGAUAGACAGCAUCACAAAGGAAAAAAAAAUACCCCCCGCUCCCCAAAUAUUAUAUCAGUUACUGCAAUGCCCUUAAAAAAAUGUUUCUUGCCUGUUUCGGUGAUCUGAAAGACACCCUGGGCAAAAUUUCAAGCUAUGACAGAGUGAUCGUAUCACUUCUGUGCUGUACUCUCUACACAAGCCCCUGAUUCAGCAGCUUGUAAUAAAAUCUUCAUUUGCAUGAAAAGCACUCUCUGAUCACAAAGUCGUCUUCUGUUCAACAGUCCUCUUCCUAUCCACAGUGUAAAGAUGUAAGCACCACUGUCAUUUUGCAGGUGACUAUGGUAGAAUAUUCUGCACAUACUUUAUUAAAAGAAGCCACAUAUUAAUACAACAUUUUACUAAAAUUGUAAUAGUAUUUUGAAUAAUACAAAAGUAGCAUACAUCCAAACUAUGCAAGCUCUGAAAAGUUCACAUACUACACUUUCAUGUGCACUGUUAAUAACUAACACACAAAUCACAACCACAAACAGCUCUAAAGCGUCUUCAGCAAUUCAACAAGUCCAGCCUUUUCCAGUUUGAAUUUACAGUGUUUACUGCCACGCUACAGAUGGCUUAAAGAUGGUAAAUUUCAAAUUAAAGGAAGGUGUAGCCAUGCAAAGAACAAUGUUCUUAUUGCAGUAAAAUUAAUCUCUGUCACAAGAAACCAAUAAAAACAAGUAUGUUGUUAUCUUUCUUUACAAAGACCAUUAAAGCUUAACCAUGUUAGGAAA